rnacentral:tRNA from 2 species
UGCGAGGUAGACGCUGUUGGUAGUAUCGCCUGGCUCUGAACCAGGAGGUCGUUGGUUCGAUUCCAACCCUCGCAGCCU